UUUACAUGUAACUUCUUGUAUGACAUAUUUCGUCAACCAAGUGGUUAAGGUCGUUGACUUCAAACCACUUGCCCCUCACCGCUGUGGGUUCGAAUCCCGACAGGGACUUUGGAUUCUUUCAUGUGAGGAAGCUAUCCAGCUAGCUUACGGAACGUCGGUGGUUCUACUCAGGUGCCCGUUUGUGCCUGAAAUAAUGCACGGAAGGGCACCUGAGGUCUUCCUCCACCAGUAAAGCUGGAACGUCGCGAUAUGACCUAUACUGUGUCGAUGUGACGUAAAACCCAAAACAAAACAAAAUUUCGUCAACCGCUAAAGAUAUUUUGUUGUAACUUCUCAUGUGUCUUUGAGAUUAUAAUAGGUCACUUUUUUUUAGCUCACCUGAGCACGAAGUGCUCAAAGGUGAGCUUUUGUCAUCACUCUGCGUCCGUCGUGCGUCGUGCGUCCUUCAAAAAAUGGCGUCAAACUUUUCAAACAACAUCUCCUCCUAAACUACAUGGCCAAUUGCAACCAAACUUUACAGAAAUGAUCCUUAGGUGGACCCCUUUCAAAGUUGUUCAAAAAUUUAAAUUCCAUUAAAAACUCUGGUUGCCAUGGCAACCAAUAAGAAAAACUUAAAAAAUCUUCU